rnacentral:tRNA from 1 species
AAAGGGAGACCUAAUUCAGGUAUAAGACGAAAAAAAAGUAGUCCCUACCAAGAAUCAAUCCCAAAAGGUCGGAACGAGGUAUGAGGCUUUCAAACUAGGUUCUGGGUUCAUAAAAGACCUGAAUCAGGAACAAGGGCUAUUAGCUCAGGUGGUUAGAGCGCACCCCUGAUAAGGGUGAGGUCCCUGGUUCGAGUCCAGGAUGGCCCACCUGCACAGGUGGCAAAAACAAGAGAAGCGAGGAAUCAGCACCUUAUCUUACUGACAUAGUAAGAGAGAAUGCUGGCUCUGAGUAAAGAGUCCAGAGGAACCUUGAAAACUGCAUAGAGCUAGGUGAAAAAGCCAAAAAAGAAGACCGCAAG